rnacentral:lncRNA from 1 species
CGGCUUCCAUCUUUCAGAAAAGGAUUUGGGAUAUCAGUAAUGAUUGUUAUGUAACCCAAUGAGAGUUUGAAGCGAUAGCCACUCACCUUUUGCUUUUGUUUGCAGUCACAUGGAUUUGCUCUUGCUGAGGAAUUUGAUAUUGACCCUCUUCUUGCUCUUUUGUUUUUCCUUUCCUUACUUUUGCCUAGGAGGAUCCUUUAGGUCUGCAACCCACUGGGAUA